CGCGGCCUAUCAGCUUGUUGGUGGGGUAAUGGCCUACCAAGGCGUCGACGGGUAGCCGGCCUGAGAGGGUGUACGGCCACAUUGGGACUGAGAUACGGCCCAGACUCCUACGGGAGGCAGCAGUGGGGAAUAUUGCACAAUGGGCGCAAGCCUGAUGCAGCGACGCCGCGUGGGGGAUGACGGCCUUCGGGUUGUAAACUCCUUUCGCUAGGGACGAAGAGGAAUUGACGGUACCUGGAAAAGAAGCACCGGCUAACUACGUGCCAGCAGCCGCGGUAAUACGUAGGGUGCGAGCGCUGUCCGGAAUUACUGGGCGUAAAGAGCUCGUAGGUGGUUUGUCGCGUCGUUUGUGUAAGUCCGCAGCUUAACUGCGGGACUGCAGGCGAUACGGGCAUAACUUGAGUGCUGUAGGGGAGACUGGAAUUCCUGGUGUAGCGGUGGAAUGCGCAGAUAUCAGGAGGAACACCGAUGGCGAAGGCAGGUCUCUGGGCAGUAACUGACGCUGAGGAGCGAAAGCAUGGGGAGCGAACAGGAUUAGAUACCCUGGUAGUCCAUGCCGUAAACGGUGGGCGCUAGGUGUGAGUCCCUUCCACGGGGUUCGUGCCGUAGCUAACGCAUUAAGCGCCCCGCCUGGGGAGUACGG
rnacentral:rRNA from 1 species